CUCGCUACAAGCACAUGAAGCCCACAGACCCCAAGUGUACGGCCCCCUACACCCCCUCCAGCAGGAACCGGUGCAGCUUCUACACCACCUCCUGGAACGUCGCCGCGCACGGCUACCUCGGCAGCGACACGUUUGCCUUCGCAGGCAGCCCCAGCGCAGGAGGAGGACACAACAGGGACGUCGACAACCUCAUCUUGGGCUGCGCACACACGACACACGGGUUCGAGCGCCUGAGCCACAACAUUCUCGCCGGGGUCCUGAGCUUGAGCAGGCACCCGACGUCGUUCAUGAGCCAGCUCACCGCACGCGGGCUGACGGACUCGCGGUUCUCAUAUUGCCUCUUUCCCGGACAGAGCCACCCCAACACCAGGCACGGGUUCCUCCGCUUUGGCCGCGACAUCCCGAGGCACGACCAUGCGCAGAGCACGUCGCUGCUGUUCACUGGAUCGGGCUACGGCCAAAGUAGCAUGUACUACAUCCGCAUCGUCGGCAUCAGCUUGAACAGGAAAAAGCUUAACGGGGUAAAGACGGCGAUGUUUAGGCGGGAUCUACAAACCCGUCGCGGGGGGUCCGUCAUCGACCCCGGGACUCCCCUGACCAGGCUGGUUCGCGCGGCGUAUGACGUCGUGGAGGCCGAGGUCGCGGCGGACAUGCACAAGCAGGGGGCGCGCCGCUCGACGGUGCCGGUGCAGGGGUACCACCUCUGCUUUGGCUCGUGGGGCCACGUGCACUUUCCGAGCUUGACCUUCAACCUGUACGAAGAAGCGACGAGGCUUUUUAUCAAGCCGGAACUGCUGUUCGUGAGGGUGAACCAUGAGCACCUGUGCUUCGCCGUCGUGCCGGACGAGGAGAUGACGGUGAUUGGCGCGGCGCAGCAGGUGGACACGCGGUUCACAUUUGACCUCCCGGGGAAUCGUCUCUACUUUGCCCAGGAGCAUUGUAGUGCUGACACUCACCCAACUGUCUAGAUCCUAGAGAGUACUAUAUGUAUCUGCGCCGAAUGCAUUCAUCAUUAGUUGGUGCAUAAACCGAUGUGGGAACAAUUUAAGAAUAAUGGGUUACAUUCCUAAUUAUAAUGCUGAAUUUAAUGAUGAUGAUUGGUGCAUUCUUACCCUCCUAAAUUUUGCAGGAUAUUUAAGUAUGAAAUAUUCGCUGUUUUUUCUUUCCUUUUAGUAUUCACUAUUUACUAUGGUUUACUUUUUAUACUCCCUCCGAUGCAAGUUAUCUGGAGGAAAGCCAUGUAUGCCAAAAUGUGAAUUUAGAUUAUUAUUACCCUCCUGGAGAUAUAAUAGCAAGUUGGGGAGACUGUUUGAUUUCUACUGCUGCUCUACAUAGUUUUUGUGCAAUAUGCCUCUGGUUUCUGCGGCAGCAAGUAAUGAACAUUACUGUGCGCUAGAUCAGUUUCCGUGUAUAUGAAUCGUGGACCGACUACUUGCUUGCUCGUAGACUGGUUUAGUAAUAAAUUUCACGCUAAAUGUCAAAACAUCCCUGAACUUGGUACGAGUGCUAGCCGAUGAUUUUCAGCUGUAGGCUAUCCAGUGUCAGGCAAUAGUUGUUGUUUGCACUGUUGCACAUUUAGUAAUUAUUUGGUAUUAAAAAAAGCAGUGGUGCAAUUUUUGUUGAGAAACUGAGCUUUAUCUGGUGAUUUAUGAUCAGAUUCGUUCUCAGGCCGCUUAUAGUGAGCCAUGCGGCGCUGGUAAUUAUAGCCUCCUGUGGGUUGGGGUUAAGAAAGUCUAGACAUUUUUUUAGAGGAAAAGGGCUCCUGCCCCGGUUCCAUUACUUAAAAUGAAACCACAGAAUCCAGUCUCAUUACAGCCCGCGGGAGCGAGCGCUCCCUCCGGCAUAAAUCCACCUAAACACACGACUUUAAAACCUCUUACAUGCAUCAUCUAACGAAUGUCUACUGACAGAACAUAAAAGGCUAAUGCCACCAGCAGGAAGGCCUGGUACCCGAUAUCUAUCUCUUCUCAACCUUCAACGAGCAGUCCGAUCUCGAUUCCAUACCAGCCUUCUGCCUUCUUCUUCAGAUAGUAUUCCAUCCACAGUUUCUUCUUCCUCACCCUGGCUCUGGCCAAAGCAGCAGAGGCGGCUACCUGGACAGCUCCCACAGAGAUGAUAUCAGACUCUCCACGCGUUCUCUUGCAGCCUCUUUGCAUAGGAUCUUCCAUUGGUUGCAGAAACCUGCAAUUCUCCUCAGGAUCACCUGCACUCCCAGCCAUGGGGCAUUGUUAAAGCACAUGUCAUUUCUACAUCUCCAGAUAACCCAGAGAGUAGCUGAGAUGAACAUAUUUUCAUCUUACAGGGAUUUAUGUUUCCUCCACUUGUCAGCCACAUAACUAAAACCAGGCUGGGGCAUACACCCCACAACCUUAUGGAUACUUUUCCACACUUCAACAGCAACAACACAUUCAAAGAAAAGAUGGUUACUAGUCUCACCUUCACAGCAAAACAAGCAACUAAGAUCAUCUAAAUGUUGCCUCUUGCUCAGGUUGCUCCUAACUAGCAACUUAUCCCGAGCAAGCAGCCAGAGGAAUAUAUGAAUGUUAGGUGGGACAUGUAGUUGCCAUAUCUUUGGAACAUGCACAGGGGUAAUCCCUUUAAAGUUUACCAUAGCAUAUAAUGAUCUAACUGAGUAUCUCCCAUUGUGCUCAAGCUUCCAAAUAAUAGCAUCCUCCUCAUCAUUCAGAAUAAUAGACUGUGCAAUGCUCAGUAAGUCAAACCAAAGAUGAAGUAGCCUAUUGUCUACACAUCUUCUAAAAGAAAUUUUAAGAUUAGUACCAUCCCAAACAUCAGCAAUAGUUUCGUUAUGCUCAUUGGCAAUACUAUACAGCUCCCAAAACUGAAUAGAUAAACUACAGGAUCCAAACCACUGAUCUUCCCAGAAUUUAGUCUUCCUCCCAUUCCCCACUUUCCAUUGGUAGCCCAUCUUUGCUGCUUUAGCAGCCCAAAGGACUCCUUUCCAGAAGGGGGAGGAGGCAUUGCUCUCAGGACAUGAGAGAAUAUUAGGGCUAUUAGUCCUAUACUUAGCAUCCACAAUUUUCUUCCACAUUUUUUGGUCUCCUCUCUGAUAUUUGUCUACCCAAGCAGCAAGUAAACAAAGGUUCAUAUCAGCAAGGUUGGGGAUCCCCAUACCACCAUACUGCUUUUUCUGAGUCAAUAAACCCCAGCUAGCUAGGUGGUACUUAUGGUGACCCUCAUAGUUAUCCCAAAAACAGUGGGCCAUCUGAGAGUUGAUCAAGUUAAUAGCCCAUUUAGGGAAUUUGACCAUACUCAUCAGGUAGGUAGGGAUGCUAGCUAAACAAGACUGCACUAAAAUUAACUUCUUCUCAUAGCCUAGUAGUCCCCCUCUCUAUCCCGCUGCUUUUUUCAAUACUUUGUCAACCACAGGUUGCAAAUCUUCUCUCCUCAGUUUGGAGUGAUGGAGGGGAAACCCCAAAUAUUUCAAAGGGAAGGAUCCCAGGCCACAAGAUAAAGCUUGGGCCACACACUGGAUCUCUUCCUCAUUAAUAUUAAUGGGAACCAGAUCACACUUAUGGAAGUUGAUCCUUAAACCAGACAUUUGCUCAAAGCAAGCAAGUAACCAUUUUAGAUUUUUUGCAGACUCCAAGUUAUUCUCUAGGAACAAGAGAGUAUCAUCUGGAUAUUGCAAGCUGAUGAUCCCUUGAGGGAAGAUGUUACACAUCAUCCCUGUCAGCAAUUUAUUCUUAGCAGCUUUAUUAAGCAUUCUACUGAAUACAUCUGCCACUAAGUUAAAAAGCAUUGGCGAUGCAGGAUCCCCUUGCCUGACUCCUUUAAAAGUUUCAAAAAACACACUAUUACAGUCAUUUAUUCUAACCCCAACUGAAUUCCUGUGCAACAGAGAUUCAACCUUCUUCAUCCACUUGGGACUGAAUCCUCUCUGAUACAUAAUUUUUAGGAGGAAUUCUUUACUGACUCUAUCAUAAGCUUUUUCAUAAUCAAGCUUAAAGACAAAACCCUCCCUACUGUUGGUCACAGCAUCAUGAAUUAUCUCAUGAGCUGUCACCACACUUUCUACUAUGUAUCUCCCUUUAAUAAAAGCUGUUUGAUUUUGAGAAAUAAUCUCAUCCCCAAUAUCUCCUAACGAAUUAGCCAGACAUUUAGCAAAAAUCUUAAAACUGCAAUUAGUCAAAGCAAUAGGCCUAAAUUUCUGAAUAGUAUCAGCAUCAGGCUCUUUAGGAAUUAAAGUUAACAGAGAAAAGUUUAAUCUAUAUAAAUCCAAGGAAUCAUGGUUCCAGGCAUCUACCAUCAGCAUUAGGUCACUUUUAAUAGUGUCCCAAAAUUGUUGGUAGAAGAGGAAUGGGAAGCCAUCAGGCCCAGGUGCUCCUUUUGCAUAAGACCCAAAGACAGCUGCCCUGACAUCUUCCUCAGUAAUAUUAGCUUCUAAUUUUCUAUUAUAUUCAUUAGAAACCUUUUCAGAAGGUUCCCAAAAGUUCUCAUCUAGAGCAAUAUCCAGGGUUUCCUCCUUACCAAACAGUUGCUUGUAGUAUUCUACAGCAAUGUUGAUAAUGCCCUUAGUAUCCUCUACAGGUCCAUCUGGGCCUUUUAGCACACUGAUCUGCUUCUUUCUCCUUCUUUGAUUAGCCAAAGCAUGGAAGUAAGCAGUAUUCCUCCCCCCUUCCAGUAUGUUUCUCUCUCUGGAUCUUUGCCUAGAUUUAAUCUCCCCUAACUUCCAAAUAUUUUGAAGGUCUAAGGCAAUCUUAUCCAUCUUAGCUUGAGAUGGUGGGGAGAGCAUUUUUGUUUCUGACUCAAUGUCCAAAAGGUUAUAUUCAGCAACUAGCUGUUGCUUAUUUCUAUUCUUGGAGGCCUCAUAGUUGGCACUCCAACCUUUACACACUCUUCUAAGCAAUCUAAUCUUAAAUUGCCAUUUGUCCAUAGGAUCUAAAAUAGAACAGGGUUUAUUCCAAGUGUUUUUAACCAUCUCAACAAACCCCUCUACCUGGAGCCACCAUUUUUCAAACCUAAAUUGUUUAUCUUUUGGUGGUUUGAUUGCUCCAGUGUCAAAAACUAGGGGGGUGUGAUCACUACCCACCCUAGGCAGGGCUUUUAGCUGGACAACUGGGAAUAAAUUUUCCCAACAAGUGGAAAUAAACACCUUAUCAAUAUUAGCCAUCACCAGAUUAUCCUGGUUAUUGGCCCAGGUGAACUUCCUAGUAUAAUUUUUUAAUUCAAUCAGGGCAUACUUAUUAACCCAGUCAUUGAAUAGAGUCACCCAGUGUAAAUUAACAACCCCAGUACUUUUUUCAUCACUCUUCCUCACCAAGUUGAAUUCACCACCAAUAAUAGUAGGACCCAACCAGGCCUCCAUAGUAUUAUGGAGUUCAUUAAUAAAGUCUAAUUUAAGAUUAUCAUAAGCAGCCCCAUAUACUGUAAUAAAUCUCCAUAUAUUGCCAUCCUUCUUAUUUUUAAUUAGGCAGGCAACAGAAUAUUGAAGGGUAUCCACAGAAAGAAUCUCAAAAUCAUCCUGUCUGAUACCCACCAAAAUGCCACCUGCUGUGCCAAUAGCUGGCAUCCAGUUCCAGGUGAACUCCUCAUUUGGGUCUAAAGAUUUAAGUUGACAGCUAGUAAAAGACUCUUUUUUUGAUUCAGAAAAUCCUACCAAGUCAGCAUGGGUGUCUCUAAUGAGUUUUCCCACUGCACUUAGUUUAUCAGGCUUGUUAAGCCCUCUAACAUUCCAUAUCAGUCCUACUACCAUAAUUGAAUUCCAAUUUUCUACAGCUACCUUUUUUACCUGACACAACCUCAGCCCAAGUAGGGAUAUCACAUGCUGCAUCACUACUGUGAGCAUAGCUAGGUCCUACAUUUGGUGAGGUUUUUUUGUUAACCCCCUCAAAACUAAUAUCUAAGUUAACAGGGAGAAAACAUUCAGGAUGUGAUUCUUUAAAACUAGAAAACCUACCAUUCUCAAUCAGCCUAAUGGCCUGUAUAUUAUGUGACAUAAUAUCUACACCAUCACCUAAGUUAAGCCCAGCUUUCCUGGCUUUUGAUAACAAUUCCUCAUAAUUAAAUGUAGAAAAGGAGUUAUAGUUUGUGUUACCUUUAGGCAUUUCGAGAUCCUUUCUCUUCUUGAGGUCUUCAACCUUCUGGAUUGCUGUCCUUCCAUCUCUUCUGAUCCUAGUACUCAUCCUGGGCGCCACAACCGGGCCCCAAUUUUUUCCUUGUCCACCUUGAGUAUUUUUCUGGGUUGGUCUCUCUGCUGAACCUUCAUCCUCAGAUUCUUCAUUGAAUUGUUCAAGCAGCUGGACACCAAUGUUUUCUCCAGGCAGAUUCUUCUGGAUGCUUUUUUUGACAUAUCACUCUUCAUACCCUGAAUCACACUUUGCACCCUUUUUUCAAUGAAUUCAUCAUCUCCAUAGGGGUUUUUGACUGUGAUGGGGCUCUUUGAGAGGUCUGAUGGUUUUGAGAAGGGCCCUUAGCAGACCCUCUUUUGUUCUUAUCCUUGUCUCUAUAUCAGUUUCCAUUUCCUUAGGCCCUUGCAUUUGUAAAACUUUUUCAGGAUCUCCUUCCAGCAAGUCUUCAUCUGUCUUGUCUGACCCACCAUCAUUGUGGGCAGCAGCUUCCAAAUGUGGUGCUGUGUCAACCAUGAAAGAAAUGAGGAAGAGUUCCUUGUCAAUCUCUAUCAGCCUUUCAGUUGGAAUCUUGGAGACAUCUCUUACAGCAAUUUGCACUUUAACCUUCUCAUAAAAACUUCUAAAGAUCUCAUGCCAGUCCACAUUAACAAGUAUCCCCAAGAUGUAGGCAAUCUGAGAGAUUACUUUCCAUGAAAGCUUGUUGACUGGGAUUCCUAUCAUAGUGACCCACACCUCCUGUAGCUCAGCAUAUGCCACUUUCUCACCAUCCCACCUAUCAAAGGAGACAACCACUCCUUUCUUUUUGAGGUUGAUAGAUGGGAGCUCCACCAAGUCCUUAACCUUCUUGUGAGGAGGAAAUCUGACCAGGAACCUUUUUUCUGUUAGUUGUCUCACUUGCCAAGGCCAGUUGGUUUUCCAAAUCUCAGAGAAGUUAUGUUUCAGUUCUUGAGUGGUGAUAGAUCCUUCCUCAAUCACAGUCACACAGACAUUGGUCAAGUUUAACCAUUUGAUAGCAUCCUUUCCCUCAGACUCAAUAUGGAAGAAACCUAACCCAGCAUUGCCACUUCCAAAAUACUGAGCUGUGGCUUGAGGCUUAUACCAUUCCAGGCAAUUAUCCAUAUGGUGUCCUGCCUUGUGACAUAUGAAACAAUUUUUUGGAAUGGGGCAUGUCCCAACAAAAUGAGCUGGUUCUCCACAAUUGUAGCAUAUCACAUCUUUCAGUUUUGGAUCAUAGUUGAUAACAACCUCUUCCUUUCUGUUUUGACUACACUGCUUGAUUUCCCCUGCUGUUCCUUCUGGGAAUUGAAGCUCUUGGUCUUCUUCUUCUGCUGCAAGUUUUGCUGAUUCUGUUGAAAGGUGCUUGACUGCCUUUCCCCAAAACCCUGGAAUUGUGGCCCAGACUGGAACUGAGUAGGUGGAGGACCAUACUAUUGCUGCUGUUGCUGCAUAACUGGCACUGCAGGAAGGAAUUGUUGCGGCCACUGGUUGAAAUGGGGGAAUUGUACACCCUGCCAUGGCUGCAUCCCUUGCAUUCCUCCCUGCCCAUGAAAUUGCUGAAUAGGGACAAAGUUACCUUGAUGUGCUUGUAUGCCAGGGGGGCUUGGUGGUGGAAGCCGCUCAACUGCUGCGGCAUCUGCUGCAUCUGCCCCUGCAUUGAAGAUCGACUCUGAUCACUGGUCGCGUGAGAAGUAUUGCCCCGACCAGCCCCUCCACCACCACCAUGGCGGCGGCCUCCUCUGUUCCCCAUCACACCCAUCACUACCUCUGCGUAGGUCGCUCUGCCCGAUUCCUUUUUCCACGGAUCUUUGGAGAAACUAAAUUUCUUCGGCACUUGCUGACGCUUAUCUGCUUCUUUGGCUGGGUGGCAAUCGCUAGCGGCGAAAUUUUUGGCUAGGAACAGAUCCUUGCGGAUCCAAACUAGCCUGCCGCCGGUGGCAGAAACCCUAGCUCUCCUUGGUGAGGGAACGGACCAGAGCUGCCCGUAUAUAUCCACCAACUCCUCAUCAUCACUCUGCGGACGCGUCUUCUGUGAAUACGCUUUCCCUGCCUGAUAGCGUACUUCCUGGCCCAAUCCAACUUUAUCCGAGGCCUGCAGGCUGACCCGCGGGGCCCUUCCCCCCGGAUCCCCAACAGUCCUUGAAUCCAUGGAUGCAGCUCGCCGGCGCAGUUGAUUCUUCGCCGGAGCUGCUCUGAACGGAGAAAGGCGGGAUGGAGACCCGUACCUGGCUUCCAAAGGAAUGUAUACAUUCCCAAUUGCAACCUUCUUCGAUCCCCUGCCUCCCUUCCCUGCUUCACCACGGCUCCCGGCAGAACAGCCGCCAUCUCGCCCAUUGAACACGCGAUGUGGACGACGCCUCUGCAACCGCUCAAUCCAGCACUUGAUCCGGCUCGAGGUGCUCCCCUAAUUGGAACAGACGAUCCGCUUCCUCUUCCGUCACUCUCGCCAUGAUACGCUCGACGAGGGCCAGCUUGGUUUCCUUCGCCUUCUCCGUCGCGCGCACCGCCGCCUUCUCCGCCUUGUUCGCCGCCCGUAGUAGCGCCUCCAGGUCUUCGACCGACGAGCUCCUCUCGCUCGAGGCUCCUCUCAUCUUGAGCUGGAUCUGGAUUCAAGACGACCCCCAGACCAACUCCGAGACCAGAGCGACCGAGCGAGCGGAUCCUCGCGUCCCUUGUCGCGCCGGAGAGCGCGCUGCCGGCCGGAAUCGGGGAAUAGUGGUGGUUGGUGGCGGUCGUCGGCGUGGAUGGGGAGGGCGAUGGGAAGGGCGAUGGGGAGGGCGAUGGGAAAGUCUAGACAUUUUCUUUGAAUCGAAUCGAUUGACGCAUGAGCUUGCCUUUUACCAGAUCUACAAGUAUUUUGUUGCGUGUGCGGCUUGUUUUACAUAUUUGCGCUCUACAUUCUAGGGUGUGUGAUGUGUCAAGCUGUUGUUGACUUGAUGCGUGUGUUGUGCUUCAGAUGCAGGCAUUGUUUGGUGCUGGUGCCAUUGAGAUUGAUGGUGACGAUGUUGUUACUCCAAAAGGUCGCAAGAUUAUCGUAUAAUGGCAAGACGAGCUGGAUCAUGCAACUUGUGCUUUGCUUGCUGGCUGGCGAGUGAACUAGUGCUGAAAUUGAUGCCAAUUACUCCUUGUUUAUGUGUUUUCGCCAACUGUGGACUUCAAUGCAAUGGAAUCUUUCAACGAAAGUAACAUGGUGAAGAUGACUUUCUUGUGUUGCCCAUUGUCUACGUAUGUUUAAUUUCCUGGUUGGUUCAUUUCGGAAAUGAUGGGUUUUUACUACCACAAGCAUCCUUUUGUUCAACCAUCAAUGGUUGCACCAGGCCCCUGUGGUUCAUUAUAAUUUUUUGCGCGCCCACCCUGAGCAGAGUUUUAGAUUUUGUUUGUGUUGAUGAUAGGUACUCCUUAUGACUAGUGUCAAAAUUGAUGUCAAUUACUCCUUUGGAAUUCUUCAAUGAAAUGAAUUUAAUGAACCAAUAGUUAUAUUAUAUGAUUUCAACCAGAAAAAUUGGCUGACUCGCCUUCUUAGUAGAAUUAAUGAUUUAGCACAGAGGAAAUAUAAAUCUCUGAUUUAUCACCAAAAGCAUGCUUGAACAUACACAUGUGAGGCGUGUGUAUGAGUUGCGCUUACGACCAAGCAAGUAGACUUAAUAAAAUUAUUUCUAUGGAGAGAAAAACUAUUUUUUUAGAAAAUGAGGGGAAUACUGAUUUCUAUUUGAUUUUCAAUCUUUUUUUAGGAUUAAUUACACUAAUUUCGAGAUUUUUCCUAGAUUGACUACUGAAGAAAUUUCGUAGUAAGAACAAUACAUCACACAUCACAUGUUUCCAAGUUUCUUAAAAGCUUCAGAUUUUCCAAAAUUAUUUGGAUUUUUUUUCAGUUAUAUAUUUUUCUACGCAUGUUAUUAAUAUAGCAAUGGUGGUCACAUGUAUAAGUUAUGCCAAGUGUGGUCUCAUAAAAUGUAUAACUUACUCUACUGUGUUGUCACACGUGCAAGUUUUUUUCUGAGACAAUCAGCAAAGCUUUAUUGAUCCAUCACACGGUUUACAUGGACGAAAUGAAGAUCCCCGGGGUGGCCCAACCAAACAUGGCGCCAAGCUCCAGUUAAGUGCAUGCUUUGCUAGAUUGUGAGCUUCGACAUUCGAGCUCCUAAAUUCAUGAACAAAAUUACUCGAAGUAAAACUAGUAGAGUACUUUAAGAUUUCAUGUAUGAUAGCACCGUAACCAGCCCCACUCUUCCUCUUAAGAUCAUUUAUCACCACCAAGCAAUCUAAAGACACAUGUAUGGAUUGUAAGUUUAGGUCCUCCGCAAGUGCCAUAGACUCCCUCACCGCAAAAGCUUCCAGAGUUGUAGGGUCAGUUAUACCUCUGAAUACCACCGAUGAAGCACCUAGAUAGAGCUCAUCCCUGUUUCUACAUAUUGCGGCCACUGAGCCCACACCUCGUCGUCCCGCCACAACAGCAUCAACGUUCACCUUCAUCAUAUGCUCCGACGGUUGGAUCCAAUGGGGCGACCUCGCCGGUCGGGUAUGUGUGUGCUGAACGUUCGGUUUCUUCAGGACCUGGAGAUCACUCCAAUAGGACUGAAUAAAUGAGUGUGUUGACAUUGGGCUUUGAAAAAUAUCCUCGUAAACUGCUUUUCUUCUCGCACCCCAUAUAGCCCAUAGUGUAAUCACCAUAUGAACUAGUUGUUCAUGUGAUAGCUUGCUGUUCAUUUGGAAUAUCCAGUCCUUUGCAUUGCCGCUCACAUUCUGGCACAUAGUUUCCACUAUUUCUUCCUCAGCUAGUGCCCACACACUGCGUGCCAUCGAGCAGUUUAUAAGCGUGUGCCUCCAAGAGUCUCUAGCGUCGCAUAAUCUGCAAGCCGACGAGGUAGCCAUAUUUCUGUGCUGAAGAAGGUCCGCAGUUGGUAUGGAGCAUCCAGCCAGGCGCCACAGAACCAUUUUCACUUUUGAUGGAACUUCAAUCUUCCAAAGCUUUGUCCACUCAUUUGAUUCCCGCUUAGCACCCGACGAAGCCUCAACCUCAUCUAUCCAGUUUUCCCUUGUGAUUUUCGUAUGAAGUAUCAUUCUGUAAGCUGACUUGACAGUGAAUAUACCUCGUUUCUCGGCGCUCCACGACCAGAAAUCAUCCAUAUUUCUGGUGCAUAGGGGGAUCGACAGAAUAGCCUCAACAUCGAUUGGCAAGAAAACCCGACGCACCAAAGGCUCAUUCCAAGAUGCUGUUGCUGUGUUUAUCAAGUCGGACACAAACUCUGGUGGGUUAUUUAUCAAAGACGAAAUAGGUCUCAUCAAGGAGCCAGUUGUGUCUCCAUAUUUCUGUAGACUGUCCAUUGCCAAUUCUCCUUAUAAUUCCCUGUUUCAGCAUAUCUCGUCCAUCAAGAACUGCACGCCAUAUUUGCGAGGGCCUGCUCCCUAACUCUGCAUUAAGCAAAGAAGUCUCUGGGAAGUAUGAUGCUUUCAAAAUCCGCGCGCUAAGAGAAGAUGGCUCGCUCAAGAUUCUCCAAGCAUGCCUGGCGAGUAGUGCUAGAUUGAAAAUUUCCAUGUCUCGGAAGCCCAGACCCCCAAGGUGUUUAGGUCUAACCAUGUCAUCCCAAGCAAGCCAACUGGGCUUACGCUUCCCUGCCUUACUACCCCACCAAAACUGCCGGAUGAUCGAUGUAAUAUUCUCACAUAGUCCUCUGGGUAGGCACACGUGCAAGUGCAUACCCAUUCGUGUACUCGAUGUUAGUAUAUUGCCGUACCAACAAACCUUUUGAAUCCUGGCAAGGCAAAGGCCCAACAAAGCCCACAAUUGACCAAGGCACUAGCCAAGUAUCAGGCAUACGGAGCCAUGCAUGUCUAGCUUCUACCUAAAAAUGACCCAGAUUUAGGUAAAAAAUGGCAAAGCUUGUCAAAUCCUACAAUCCGUCCAUCUAGAUCAGAAUCCAUCAAUUUAGGCGACAAUCAGGUAGUUUGUCUGGCUUUUAGGCAAGGUUUUAGGCCGGCCGGCCUGUACGUGCGUAGCGCCUACCCAACCUUUCAGCCUCCAUGUAUGUAUGGGCCAACCAUAGUGGCCCAGCAACCUUAGCGUCUUCUGUUAUGUUCACAAGGUACGUGGGAAGUCUAGACUUACAAGGUUUUAACUCUCUAAUAUUUUUUUUGAGGGAUCCCAUACUUUAUUAAUGUGGUUAUUGUUCCAAAUUAACUUUCACAUUUGACCUCCCGGAGAAUCGUCUCUACUUUGCCCAGGAGCAUUGUAGUGUUGACACUCGCGCAACUGUCUAGAUCCUAGAGAGUACUAUAUGUAUGUGUGCCGAAUGCAUUCAUCAUUAGUUGGUGCAUAAACGUGUGGGAACAAUUUAAUAAUAAUGGGUUACAUUCCUAAUUAUAAUGCUGAAUUUAAUGAUGAUGAUUGGUGCAUUCAUACCCUCCUAACCCUCUUUGCAAGAAUUUUUCAGGAUAUUUAAGUAUGAAAGAUUCACUGUUGUUUUCCUUUUAGUAUUCACUAUUUACUAUGGUUUGCUUUUUAUACUCCCUCCGAUAAAAAAAGUCUCAUGGCUGAGUUCUUUGGUCAAGAACUAUCUUCAUUUUUUUUAUUUUGGCCUCACCGAAUUUAAGUGGAUGCAGUAAAAAAAUUGAACUGGAUCCAAGCCAAGCUAGCGUUUCGGGCUUAAGGGUGCCACGAGCCGAUCCCAGGCUCCCAGCUUGCCUUUUACAUGGAGGACAUCGAGUUCAUGUGGAACAAAACUACAAGCACACAUGUAAUAACGCAACAACAUCAAGGCCGAGGCACUGGUUGGCUCUGCCCGAAGAUCAUGUCAAAGCUAACAUUGAUGAAGCGUGUCUCGCAAUGGCUUGUUCGAUGCUGUUGGUGCAAUCUGUAGGGAUGGAACAUGUGCUUUCUUGGGAGCAUCGGCAGUUGUAAUCAGGAACAUCAAGGAUCCUCAAGUACUUGAAACACUAGCUAUCAGGGAGGCACAUGCCCCAUCAGAAGAUCUAUACAUAAACCGAAAUUUUGUUGCAUCCGUUUGCAAGGUGGUCAUUGAUGCAAAUAAGGAGGGAACCUCACCAAGUUUCGGAGCUAUAGUUCAAGAAAUAGUAGCUAGAUCUAGCAGUUUUUUUUCAUGUGUUUUUAGUUAUGAGUAUAGAAGCGACCAGGCUUUUUAUCAAGCUGGAACUACUGUUCGUGAGGGUGAACCAGCACCUUUGCUUCACCGUCGUGCCGGAUGAGGAGAUGACGGUACUUGGCGCGGCGUGGCAGGUGGACACGCGGUUCACAUUUAACCUCCCGGGGAAUCGUCUCUACUUUGCCCAGGAGCAUUGUAGCGCUGACACUCGCGCAACUGUCU
rnacentral:lncRNA from 1 species